rnacentral:rRNA from 1 species
UACAGAGGUCUCAAGCGUUGUUCGGAUUCAUUGGGCGUAAAGGGUGCGUAGGCGGCGAGGCAAGUCUGGUGUGAAAUCCCGGGGCUCAACCCCGGAACUGCACUGGAUACUGCUUUGCCAGAGUACUGGAGAGGGAACUGGAAUUUACGGUGUAGCAGUGAAAUGCGUAGAUAUCGUAAGGAAGACCAGCGGCGAAGGCGAGUUCCUGGACAGUUACUGACGCUGAGGCACGAAGGCCAGGGGAGCAAACGGG